UCACUUCAAAUUUUAUCCUUAAAUCGCCCCUAUUGCCUGGCUCCUUAGCGAUUGGCAUACCUUCACUGGUAAUGACGAGCUCAUAACCAGGGCUAACUAUAUCCUGUACUGGAAUAGACAGGCUACGACCAUCAAGUGUAUUGUGGGGUUUCUCAUCAAUGAUGAACACGAGGUCUGCUGGAAGCUGAUUCAGCUGCUCAUUCCCUUUAUCUGGGAAAGUAAUCUUUGUUCCCUUCUUCCACCCUGGCUUCACAUCAAUGAAUGCAAUAUCAGCAAUAUGUGCAAGGACAAUGUGGGAAGAGUGGAAAGAAUGCUUCAUCAAUCAGGAAGUUGGGAAGUGCUGGAAUUGAUGAGAUUUUUUCUUAAUAUAUGAGGUACGUCUCAGUGAAGAAUCUCAUGAUUACGAGAAAAUUAUGAGAUUGAUUUGCAAAAUCUUAAAAGAGUCAUUUAUAAUUUAGUGAUAGCAUUCUAUAUAUAUAUAUAUAAUGUAUCUUCCAUUAUAAAUAUGGAGUUCUAUGUAUUAUGUUAAACACAACACAAGUUAAUAAAAUAUAGUCUUUUUGAAGUUCGUGUCCAUGAACUUAUUCUCAAACCACGUAAAUCCUUCUCUUGUUGUUUUCUCCUACUUAGAUAUCAUUAUAAAUUUUAACAAAAUCACGGAAGAAAUUUUAGAUCUUGCAUUAAGAAUUAUACAGAUACCUAUCAUGUAAAACAAUAGUAAAAGCACU